GGGACGGGCCCGGCGGCCCCGCCUAGCGCCGCGACCCUCGGCGGCCGCCCCGCGCGCGCUCCGGGCCGUUUCCGGUGUGGCCGCGACAAAGAGCCGCAGCCCCUGUGGCUUCUGCGAGGAGGCGUGAGGCGUGUGCGCCUCCGCGGCGUCUCCACGGAGCGAGCGGGACGCGCCCUCCUCCUCGGUGGGAGGGAGGGGGGUCACCUGCGGGGACCAGGUAUCCGAGGGCCACCCCUAGACAGUCAGCCUGGCCCGAAGGAUGACCAGCCCCCGGUAAAUAGAAGGGGGCGAAGCCAGCUCCGAAACCUUACGUUCGCUGUCCCUUGUAAAGACCCUAGAGGCAGUGAUCGGGGAACGCCAAGGAGAAAGCGGCAGAGGGGAAACCACAGUAGAGAAGUUUGGUGUGCAGAGGGUUGAAGUGUGCUUUUCCAAGGUUAGAGGUUUUUAAACCUUGUGGCUUUAAUGGGAACGUAGUUUGCCCUCUGCUCCUCUAGUGGAAUUACAUGGACGGAAGAGGAAAUGCAUUGGCCGGCCCAGCUCACCGAGUCUCUGAGGCAUGCUGCGAACGUUGCAGAGGAAGCCAGAGAGAACCUUGCCUUCAAGGAAUUUAGGCUGUUGGGGGAUAAUGCGAUGCUGUGGCCAGUGUCCAGGACACUGCGCUAGAGUUUGCAGUAGUUUUAAUAUGCUUGACCACCCA
rnacentral:lncRNA from 1 species